rnacentral:rRNA from 1 species
GGGUUGUGAGGUUAAGCGACUAAGCGUACACGGUGGAUGCCCUGGCAGUCAGAGGCGAUGAAGGACGUGCUAAUCUGCGAAAAGCGUCGGUAAGGUGAUAUGAACCGUUAUAACCGGCGAUGUCCGAAUGGGGAAACCCAGUGCAAUUCGUUGCACUAUCGUUAACUGAAUACAUAGGUUAACGAGGCGAACCGGGGGAACUGAAACAUCUAAGUACCCCGAGGAAAAGAAAUCAACCGAGAUUCCCCCAGUAGCGGCGAGCGAACGGGGAGCAGCCCAGAGUCUGAAUCAGCUUGUGUGUUAGUGGAACGGUCUGGAAAGUCCGACGGUACAGGGUGAUAGUCCCGUACACCAAAAUGCACAGGCUGUGAACUCGAAGAGUAGGGCGGGACACGUGGUAUCCUGUCUGAAUAUGGGGGGACCAUCCUCCAAGGCUAAAUACUCCUGACUGACCGAUAGUGAACCAGUACCGUGAGGGAAAGGCGAAAAGAACCCCGGCGAGGGGAGUGAAAAAGAACCUGAAACCGUGUACGUACAAGCAGUGGGAGCACCUUCGGGUGUGACUGCGUACCUUUUGUAUAAUGGGUCAGCGACUUAUAUUCUGUAGCAAGGUUAACCGUAUAGGGGAGCCGCAGGGAAACCGAGUCUUAACUGGGCGUUAAGUUGCAGGGUAUAGACCCGAAACCCGGUGAUCUAGCCAUGGGCAGGUUGAAGGUUGGGUAACACUAACUGGAGGACCGAACCGACUAAUGUUGAAAAAUUAGCGGAUGACUUGUGGCUGGGGGUGAAAGGCCAAUCAAACCGGGAGAUAGCUGGUUCUCCCCGAAAGCUAUUUAGGUAGCGCCUCGUGAACUCAUCUUCGGGGGUAGAGCACUGUUUCGGCUAGGGGGUCAUCCCGACUUACCAACCCGAUGCAAACUACGAAUACCGAAGAAUGUUAUCACGGGAGACACACGGCGGGUGCUAACGUCCGUCGUGAAGAGGGAAACAACCCAGACCGCCAGCUAAGGUCCCAAAGUCACAGUUAAGUGGGAAACGAUGUGGGAAGGCACAGACAGCCAGGAUGUUGGCUUAGAAGCAGCCAUCAUUUAAAGAAAGCGUAAUAGCUCACUGGUCGAGUCGGCCUGCGCGGAAGAUGUAACGGGGCUAAACUGUGCACCGAAGCUGCGGCAGCGACACUAUGUGUUGUUGGGUAGGGGAGCGUUCUGUAAGCCUGCGAAGGUGGCCUGUGAGGGUUGCUGGAGGUAUCAGAAGUGCGAAUGCUGACAUAAGUAACGAUAAUGCGGGUGAAAAGCCCGCACGCCGGAAGACCAAGGGUUCCUGUCCAACGUUAAUCGGGGCAGGGUGAGUCGACCCCUAAGGCGAGGCCGAAAGGCGUAGUCGAUGGGAAACAGGUUAAUAUUCCUGUACUUGGUGUUACUGCGAAGGGGGGACGGAGAAGGCUAUGUUAGCCGGGCGACGGUUGUCCCGGUUUAAGCAUGUAGGCGGAGGUUCCAGGUAAAUCCGGUACCUUUUUAACGCUGAGGUGUGAUGACGAGGCACUACGGUGCUGAAGUAACAAAUGCCCUGCUUCCAGGAAAAGCCUCUAAGCAUCAGGUAACAUUGAAUCGUACCCCAAACCGACACAGGUGGUCAGGUAGAGAAUACCAAGGCGCUUGAGAGAACUCGGGUGAAGGAACUAGGCAAAAUGGUGCCGUAACUUCGGGAGAAGGCACGCUGAUAUGUAGGUGAAGCCCCUGCGGGUGGAGCUGAAAUCAGUCGAAGAUACCAGCUGGCUGCAACUGUUUAUUAAAAACACAGCACUGUGCAAACACGAAAGUGGACGUAUACGGUGUGACGCCUGCCCGGUGCCGGAAGGUUAAUUGAUGGGGUUAUCCGUAAGGAGAAGCUCUUGAUCGAAGCCCCGGUAAACGGCGGCCGUAACUAUAACGGUCCUAAGGUAGCGAAAUUCCUUGUCGGGUAAGUUCCGACCUGCACGAAUGGCGUAAUGAUGGCCAGGCUGUCUCCACCCGAGACUCAGUGAAAUUGAACUCGCUGUGAAGAUGCAGUGUACCCGCGGCAAGACGGAAAGACCCCGUGAACCUUUACUAUAGCUUGACACUGAACAUUGAGCCUUGAUGUGUAGGAUAGGUGGGAGGCUUUGAAGCGUGGACGCCAGUCUGCGUGGAGCCAACCUUGAAAUACCACCCUUUAAUGUUUGAUGUUCUAACGUUGGCCCCUGACCGGGGUUGCGGACAGUGUCUGGUGGGUAGUUUGACUGGGGCGGUCUCCUCCCAAAGAGUAACGGAGGAGCACGAAGGUUAGCUAAUCCUGGUCGGACAUCAGGAGGUUAGUGCAAUGGCAUAAGCUAGCUUGACUGCGAGCGUGACGGCGCGAGCAGGUGCGAAAGCAGGUCAUAGUGAUCCGGUGGUUCUGAAUGGAAGGGCCAUCGCUCAACGGAUAAAAGGUACUCCGGGGAUAACAGGCUGAUACCGCCCAAGAGUUCAUAUCGACGGCGGUGUUUGGCACCUCGAUGUCGGCUCAUCACAUCCUGGGGCUGAAGUAGGUCCCAAGGGUAUGGCUGUUCGCCAUUUAAAGUGGUACGCGAGCUGGGUUUAGAACGUCGUGAGACAGUUCGGUCCCUAUCUGCCGUGGGCGCUGGAGAAUUGAGGGGGGCUGCUCCUAGUACGAGAGGACCGGAGUGGACGCAUCACUGGUGUUCGGGUUGUCAUGCCAAUGGCAUUGCCCGGUAGCUAAAUGCGGAAGAGAUAAGUGCUGAAAGCAUCUAAGCACGAAACUUGCCCCGAGAUGAGUUCUCCCUGAGACUUUAAGUCUCCUGAAGGAACGUUAAAGACGAUGACGUUGAUAGGUCGGGUGUGUAAGCGUAGCGAUACGUUGAGCUAACCGAUACUAAUGAACCGUGAGGCUUAACCUUACAACGCCGAAGGUGUUU